GAUGAACGCUGGCUACAGGCUUAACACAUGCAAGUCGAGGGGAAACGACGGGGAAGCUUGCUUCCCCGGGCGUCGACCGGCGCACGGGUGAGUAACGCGUAUCCAUCCUGCCUCUGACUGAGGGAUAACCCGUCGAAAGUCGGCCUAAUACCUCAUGGUAUCGUCUGCGGGCAUCCAACGACGAUUAAAGAUUUCAUCGGUCAGGGAUGGGGAUGCGUCUGAUUAGCUUGUUGGCGGGGUAACGGCCCACCAAGGCUACGAUCAGUAGGGGUUCUGAGAGGAAGGUCCCCCACAUUGGAACUGAGACACGGUCCAAACUCCUACGGGAGGCAGCAGUGAGGAAUAUUGGUCAAUGGGCGAGAGCCUGAACCAGCCAAGUAGCGUGCAGGAAGACGGCCCUAUGGGGUGGAAACUGCUUUUAUGCGGGGAUAAAGUGAGGGACGUGUCCCUCAUUGCAGGUACCGCAUGAAUAAGGACCGGCUAAUUCCGU
rnacentral:rRNA from 1 species